rfam:Picea glauca, whole genome shotgun sequence.
UGAAAGCGUGGCCUAUUGAUCCUUUAGACUUUUAGAAUUUGAAGCUAGAGUUGUCAGAAAAUUUAUCACAGGAAUAACUGGCUUGUGGCAGCCAAGCGUUCAUAGCAACGUUGCUUUUUUAUCCUUCGAUGUUGGCUCUUCCUAUCAUUUUGAAGCAAAAUUCACCAAGUGUUGGAUUGUUCACCCACCAAUAGGGAACGUGAGCUGGGUUUAGACCAUCGUGAGACAGGUUAUUUUUACCCUACUAAUGAACUGUGCCACAAUAUUAAUUCAACUUAGUACGAGAGGAACCAUUUAUUCACACAAUUGGUCAUCGUUCUUGGUUGAAAAGCCAAUGGCACGAAGCUAUUGUGUGUCGGAUUAUGACUGAAUGCCUCUAAGUCAGAAUCCACGCUAGAAGUGGCACUUGUCACUCCUCGACUGUAUCUUGACCCACAGUAGGGGUGUCUCUUUGGUACCCCAGGGGCCCGUGUCACUUUCAAACAUCGACCGGGAAGCGUCUCGGUCGGGGUAGCUUUGAACUUUAAUUUAAAAUGGUCAUUGAGAAGAAUCCUUUGCAGAUGACUUAAAUAUGCGAUGGGGUAUUGUAAGUGGGAGAGUGGCCUUGCUUCCACGAUCCACUGAGAUUCAUCCCUUCGUUUCCUUGAUUCAG